ACUCCUACGGGAGGCAGCAGUGGGAAUAUUGCACAAUGGGCGCAAGCCUGAUGCAGCCAUGCCGCGUGUGUGAAGAAGGCCUUCGGGUUGUAAAGCACUUUCAGUCGUGAGGAAGGUAGUGUAGUUAAUAGCUGCAUUAUUUGACGUUAGCGACAGAAGAAGCACCGGCUAACUCCGUGCCAGCAGCCGCGGUAAUACGGAGGGUGCGAGCGUUAAUCGGAAUUACUGGGCGUAAAGCGCAUGCAGGCGGCCUGUUAAGUCAGAUGUGAAAGCCCGGGGCUUAACCUCGGAAUUGCAUUUGAAACUGGCAGGCUAGAGUCUUGUAGAGGGGGGUAGAAUUUCAGGUGUAGCGGUGAAAUGCGUAGAGAUCUGAAGGAAUACCAGUGGCGAAGGCGGCCCCCUGGACAAAGACUGACGCUCAGAUGCGAAAGCGUGGGGAGCAAACAGGAUUAGAUACCCUGGUAGGAUAGCG
rnacentral:rRNA from 1 species